rnacentral:rRNA from 1 species
AAUUGACAGAUUGAGAGCUCUUUCUUGAUUCGGUGGGUGGUGGUGCAUGGCCGUUCUUAGUUGGUGGAUCGAUUUGUCUGGUUAAUUCCGAUAACGAACGAGACUCUAGCCUACUAAACUAGACACGUUGAUUUGGUUUGUCGAUUCGAACUUCUUAGACGGGACUGAUCGUCAUUUAGACCUACGAGAUUGAGCAAUAACAGGUCUGUGAUGCC